AUGCUUCAUAACCGAAUUCUUCCACAAUCUCUCAGCAUAAUCUCCAUCUUUAUCACUACAGUAUCAAUCUUCAACUCAUCUACUACACGGCAUUCUCCUUGCCGCAUUUCACGAACCGUCGUCAUUAAUUCUUCAAAUUCAUUUCUACAUUUCUCUGAUUUUUAUAUGAAAUCUUCAUCAACCUUUCAAUAUUCAUCUUCAUCCGCUUCAAGGCUUCGUCAUAAUUCCACAUCUUCAUCACCAUUAAAUCUCUACAACGACUUCAAUCAUCUUUACCAGCAAUAUGCAAACGCAUUGUAUCUUUAA